GGAAGUGUGGCUGAAGGGUGAGGUAAUGAAGAUGUCCUCAAGCCACUGGAAAGGGCCCCCUAAGAAAGAAUGAGAUAAAAGAAGAGCUGCAUACAGAGAAUCAGGAUUUGUUGUGUGAUAUUCUGUGUAAGCUCCACACAGAAGAUUAAACAUUUAAUUUUCACCCCCAGGGUCCUCCACCCUCCUUCUCCCUAUCACUAUCUCAUUGGUCCCAUGAAAGUCCCUGUGGACAACCUGGAAUUGUGAAGUAUGGAUAUCUACAUGAAAGAGACAAAUUGUCACCCACUGACCUACAGUAUCUAAUUUAGAUAACUAUGGGAUGCAGACAGAACAUGAGCCCCAAUUGAUGCCAUAUGAACUAUGGAUGAUUUGGGAAAUUAUUCCAGAGGAUGAGGAAGAGAAGAGGUUGCACACUCCUAGCAGUAAAAGAAUUUAAUGAGUUUGUGAUGAGGGGUGUAUCCCACACAGGCAAUAAAAGGGUUAUGGUGUGCCUGAGAGACCAAUUGUGCUACCUAGCUGCACCUUUGGGAUGGGCCAGGUUUAAUUAAAGAUGAAGCCCAGCAGGGGAAGGAGUUGGAUAGUGACUAGAGAGAAUGCUGCACCCCCUGUCUUCACACUAGGGAAUGGAGAGACUGGCAGGGUCAAGGAGGGAGUCUAGAGAGAGUUGGCCAUGGGAACCUCUCCUGAGAAGAGAAGUCUGGCAAAAGGCCAUAAGAGAAAGCAAGCAGCUAGCAGGGUGGAACAUGCUACAUUGGGGAGCACUCACAAAAAGGCAGAAUAUGGACUUCCAAGGAGAGAGUCUGAAGAGGUCUUCAACUGAAGAACAGAGUGGGUUGAAAGGCCAAGCCUGGGGAGGAUAGAAAUUGCUUUAUCUAUAUUUUUGGAUUUGGAAUUUUGUUUAGGGAUUCCAGGGGGAGCCCUGAGAUUCCUAUUUUCUGAAAGAAGGGUGAAUGAAGAGAGGAUGUGGAGAGAUGGUCUGAGAAAAGACUAGAAUAGGAAGAAGUCAAAGGGAUGCAGCAGCAGAGACGAGACUUUGGCUGCUGGUUAUAGUGUUGCUGGAUUGGAAUCCAUUUUAGUGAGUGGGCCAUGGUUCCCUACUAGCCACUAGGGAAGAAGAGACCUCUGAGAAGGGCAUAAGGAUGACUAAAAAUACUGAGAGAAGCGUGAGAGACUGAAAACCUUCUGAAAGGUCAAACUUCUAUUACCUUGGAAAGGGCAGAACUAAAGUGUGACCUGGCCAGAGGGAUGAGUCACAAGAAGGGGUGUACCACCAUGAGCACUCGCAGGAGAUGCAAGAAAAAAAAGAGCUGCUACACUAUAUCCAGCCCUGAGGGGUAUGUCCGCAGUGAAUCCACCUUUCUACAGGGUUGCAUUCUCAUCUUCUAUUCUGGUCGUUUUGUACUGCUCUGGCAUUACAAAGCAGUUUGAAAACUACCCUAAAGGAUUUGGGCUGAGGAUUACCCUGGUGUAAAUGAGUUCCAGGAUGGCAUAAGGCUAGCAUAAGUAGCUGUAGGCCACCUACUGCCUCACACAUCACAUGGUGGGGCAGGGGGAGUCUGAAUGGGGAGUGACAUGUCAUGGGUAUAUCCAAGCAAGGUUAGAAUUCACAGUGGCUGAUCCUUGGAUGGCAGAGUGGUCUCUGUGGCACCCCUGCAGCUUAAAACAAACCUCCCACCCUGCCCCAGGGUUGGAGAAAUGUAAAGUUGGUUAAGAGCCACCUUUUCUCCCACACUCAGUUAUGCUCAAUUCAGGUAAGGAGCCAGCCCAACACCUGAGAUAUCUGAGAAGCUGGACAUCAAAGAUACAUAAUCUUUGUUGAGAAUCCACAAUCUCAGUAAGGCUUUUUGAAACCUUGGCAAACACUUUUUUGUUUUAACCCUGGCGACAGAGAGGCUUACAGUUUAAUUAGAAACAAUCCAUUCUCCCUGUGCCUAAAUUGCUGAAUAAUAAACUAUAGCCCCAGAGACUUUGUCCUCUAAACAUUCUCACUACCUUACUA